rnacentral:rRNA from 1 species
UACAGGGGGUGCAAACGUUGCUCGGAAUCAUUGGGCGUAAAGCGCGCGCAGGCGGCACUCUAAGUACGCUGUGAAAUAUCCCGGCUCAACCGGGAGGGUGCAGUGUAGACUAGGGAGCUAGAGGUCGGUAGAGGGGGGUGGAAUUGCUGGUGUAGCGGUGAAAUGCGUAGAGAUCAGCAGGAACACCCGUGGCGAAGGCGGCCCCCUGGGCCGUACCUGACGCUGAGGCGCGAAGGCUAGGGGAGCGAACGGG